GGCUUUGCUUGGUGGUGAGAGUGGCGAACGGGUGAGUAAUGCGUGACCGACCUGCCCCAUACACCGGAAUAGCUCCUGGAAACGGGUGGUAAUGCCGGAUGCUCCGACUCCUCGCAUGGGGUGUCGGGAAAGAUUUCAUCGGUAUGGGAUGGGGUCGCGUCCUAUCAGGUAGUCGGCGGGGUAACGGCCCACCGAGCCUACGACGGGUAGCCGGCCUGAGAGGGCGACCGGCCACAUUGGGACUGAGAUACGGCCCAGACUCCUACGGGAGGCAGCAGUGGGGAAUAUUGCACAAUGGGCGCAAGCCUGAUGCAGCGACGCCGCGUGCGGGAUGACGGCCUUCGGGUUGUAAACCGCUUUUGAUCGGGAGCAAGCCUUCGGGUGAGUGUACCUUUCGAAUAAGCACCGGCUAACUACGUGCCAGCAGCCGCGGUAAUACGUAGGGUGCAAGCGUUAUCCGGAAUUAUUGGGCGUAAAGGGCUCGUAGGCGGUUCGUCGCGUCCGGUGUGAAAGUCCAUCGCUUAACGGUGGAUCUGCGCCGGGUACGGGCGGGCU
rnacentral:rRNA from 1 species